UCCAUUGUAAUUGUUUUUAUUAAACCACUGCAAAUUGCUUUACCUACAUAGUUGAUAAAAUGAUUAAUUGCCACCAGCGGUGCUUUAAAGUAGGGUAAGAUUACAAACAAAACAACUUAGAAUGAUUAUGUAAAGUGAAUACCUACCUAUAACGGCAAUUUAAAAGUGAAAUUGUGAGGAACUGAAUUACAUAAAAUCUCCACCUCCAGGUGCUAAAAAGAUUGGAAAGUCUCCGUUUAAGGUGCACAAUGAUUAUCGGUUAUAACUUAUCGUGUAAUUUAUAAUUUCAAGGUAAUCUUCAACACAUUAAUUGCGCGUAAAUGUCGGACGACUAUACGCUGUUUGAAUUUUGUCAGUUUAACAGUACCAGUGCACUCCUUCUGCCGAAUGCAUAGCAUUUUUGUUUAAAUUAGAGUGAACCGUUUUCAAUCGACUUUUUAGGAAGUGGAAUAGUACUUAGGUUACUUUCACAAUAUCUAUUGCUGUCUAUGCGCCCCGUUUGCCAAAAAAAGAGGCAAUGAAAACUACCAGUACGGAAAUUUUGACGCCUUCGAACAGAUCGAGCGCGAUCCAAAUACCGAUGGGUCCGAAAAAGGCGCCACAACUGAUAAUGGUACCGUGGGAUAAAUCAAAAUCGUAUACAUUUCUGACGCUUAUGGUUUGUGCGGUGAUAUGGGCGUCGGUAUAUUUCCCGUUAAUUCUUUAAGACGUACCUACAUACCUAUAAGAAUAGGCAGAUAACUACCUAUGUUUGUGUAAAUAUGUAGUGAAAUGUUAAGUUUCUAAAUGUUUUAUUUAGGCAACCUGAAGGUUAACCAUAUAUUUAAUAACAGAUUUCCUCCUAUCUAUUAACAUAAUUAUGUAUAGGUAUUCUAUGCAAAUUGUACUACCAAACCAUAUGGUUGCCAGUUUUUGUUAUUGUACCAUAUUUCUAUAUAAGUAAUUGCACUACACAAUUGUGAUUUUUACCAACACGUUUUAUACAUUAUACCUUUGAAUUAUUAUACCUAUUUCAAUUUUGAUAUUUAAAUUUUGUAACCUUUAUGUGUAGUAGCGCACGUCGGUGUAUUUUUUCCAGUCUAAUUUGUUAAAUUGUGUGAUGCAGUUCAAUAGUGUUUGUACCCAAAAUUACAUUAGAUUUUACAGUGGUCAAAUAAACAGAAUGUUACAUUUA